AGGGGAAGAGAAGACUGCUUUGGAACUUGCAAGGGCAUAUUUUAAAGGAAAAUCAAGAAGAUGUAGGAAUUUUUACAUAUCGGCCCAUGAAAAUACUUACCUUGAAAUAAGUAUGACUUCAAUAGGACUUAAUCCCAAAGCAUCUGUGGAAUACUACGACAACUCCCCAAAUAGCAACAAUGGAUGAACACCAGCUUGAGAAAUUCAUGUCUAUAUUAUUUAUGAAGCUACAAUUCUCCUGUAAAUAACCCAGUUGUUAAAAUGAUAUGUAUCUAUGUAAUUGAGUCUUCUGUAUACAAAUAAAUAAGGCUUUAUUGCAAUGUCAGAAGUUAAC